rnacentral:lncRNA from 1 species
CUCCAGAAGCUGGUGGCCUUAAUAAAAUGAGACAAUGCUAUGUUGUUGCAUAACCUGAACUUCAAAUUCAAUUUCAGUUAUAGGGGAACAGAAGUGGUGCAGAGCUAUUUCGUGUAUAAGGCCAUCUGAAUGGUGAAGGUUUCACGGGCCAUGUUGAACUGGGCUUGAACUGCAUUUCUCUCUCCCAUAUCAAUCACAUAAACAUGGAAUAAAUUUCAAGGGCAUUAAGCACACAGAAGGUGACGUUUGCAAUCACAGUAAAUAUGCCGGUCCUCUGGUUUCAGUUCCACCUUGAUAUGGUUUGCUUUCCUGCCCUAUUUGGUUCUGCCAGUUUGUGAAUUAAACUGCUGCCUCCAGGGGUAAUUAGAGCAGGAACUGUUGGCAUUAAUUUGAUUUUGAAGAGUCCAUGAUUUCAGAGUUUGUUUUAAUCCCCUAGUUUUCUUCAUCCUCAAGAACAAAACUAAUCUGAAUUUGCCUGGAGAGGUUCCAGAACUCCUCUCACUGUGACUUUCUUCCCUGGUCACCUCAAGGGUGAAGCCCUGAAGUGGUGCUAGACACAUAAACGUUGUACAGUCAGAGCUGCAUCUCUUCUAGGGAUGGGUAAACUGCUAUGGAAAAAUAAGAACUAGCCAAACCAAACCUCAGCCCAAACACUGACAUCAACCCUAACAUUUUUGAAGGUAGCCUAAGAAAAAUGAAGAUGUCAUGAUUAUGGAGGAAAAGUUUGGAUUGGACAUUAAGAGUCCUGUUCGCAAGCAGAAUUUCUGUGGCCUUCACAUUGUCAAGGAUGAUGACCCAGCUGCAGUGGGAGACACGUAGCUUGUAUACGACCUGAUCCUGACACUGCUCAUCUGCUCUGAAACAGAAUCAGGACAGCUAACAUACCCAAAUCUCAGCAUUUCGAGAAGAAGCCUGACAGCCUGGAGAAUUAAUGGAGCAAACAGAGAUAAUGCAGUAACCUGCGGCUUUUAGUCUCGAAGUGAUACGAGGGGCCAGUCGGAGUUUAAAUAAAGGAUAAAACAUUAAAUCUUCGGGGGCA